GUCAGGUCAACCUUUUAAACAGUCUGAUGACUUUUUUUCUGGAUUUUCAGUUCCAUGACUGACUGCAAGCAACAGCUACUGCCAAAACAAAGAAAGAAACAAGGAACUCGAAGUGGAAGGGCAGGACCAUUUUAUUCCUUUAAUAUCAAUACAACAACCUGGAACGCUGUCCUGUUUCUGCUUCUGGUGGCCUGGAGUCCAAGCGCGGCAAUGCAGAGCUGA
rnacentral:lncRNA from 1 species